rnacentral:misc_RNA from 1 species
GUAGGUGAACCUGCGGAGGGAUCAUUACCGAGCGAGGGCCUCCGGGUCCGACCUCUCAACCCCAUGUUAUCCGACACUGUUGCCUCGGGGGCGACCCGGCCCCUUGCGGGCGUCGGGGCCCCCGGCGGACCGUCAAACGCUGCAUCUGUGCGUCCGAGUCUUAUGAGAAAUCAAUCAAAACUUUCAACAACGGAUCUCUUGGUUCUAGCAUCGAUGAAGAACGCAGCAUCUGACUGACUGGAAGCUUGUC